AAAAUAUUGGUCCUUUCAGGGUAAAACGUUUAAUUAUACAGUAAGCAUACGCACAUGCAGACACAGGCAAUUUUACUGACAUUUCAGUGACACAUACAAGCUCAUUGAUACACAGCCUCAUAGACAAACAAUCUUACUGAUAUACAUCAGCUCAUUGACAUAAAAACACAAGCUCACUCACUAGCAGGCACACGCAUGCAAGCAAGCUCACUCACUAGCAGACGCACACACAGCUUAAUGUGGUGGUACUGGUGUCUAUAGCAUGUCGCUACAG